rnacentral:rRNA from 1 species
AUGAUCCAACCAUUGCUUGGCCGAGAACUGAAUCUGCGUGUAAGCUUAUAUGCGGAUGAUGUUGUUAUAUUUGCAAACCAGGUGCAUGAGGAGAUUGAGAACCUAAUACAUAUCAUACAAGACUUUGGAGAAGCAACGGGCCUUAAGAUUAAUCUGAGAAAAUCAACAUCCACUCCUAUCCAAUGUGAGGACAUAGACCUAGACGAGGUUUUGGAGACGUUUGGUGGGCAAAAAGCAAACUUCCCUAUAACCUACCUUGGCCUGCCGAUCACCCUCUCAAGAAUCAAAAUGGUGCACCUGCAAUUUGUGGACCGCAUCAGAGCCAGGCUUGCCGGUUGGAAAGGAAAUCUUUUGUCUAUUGUAGGUCGACGGGUCCUAGUCCUUGCUAUGCUUAGCUCCUUGCCCACCUUGACCAUCACAACUCUUCGUGUCACGGAAAAAUUCCUCAAGGAAGUUGAUAAAUUGAGAAGAUGA